CUUCUACUCCACUCCAGCAUGGGAAAUUCAGUCUCUAGCUUGUACAGAAGCACCCUGGCGCACAAUUUUAACUCCCAGAAUGGUCAGCCCUGCAGCCAACAGCUCUUUGCAACCCUAUGGAUUGUAGCCCGCCAGGCUCCUCUAUCCAGAUUCUCCAGGCAAGAAUACUGGAGUGGGUUGCCAUGCCCUCCUCCAGGGGAUUUUCCUGAUGCAGGUAUCGAACUGGUGUCUCCAAUGUCUCCUGCAUUGAAGGGUUUCCCUUGUGGCUCAGUGAUAAAGAAUCCACCUUCCGGUGGAGGAGACGCAGGUUCCAUUCCUGGUCCAGGAAGAUCCCAGAUGCCAUGGGGCAACUGUUGCACCUGAGUGAUCUAGAGACUGUGCUCCGCAACAAGAGAAGCUGGCUCGGUGAGAAGCCUGCAUACUGCAACUGGAGAGUGACCCCUGAUCGCCGAAACUAGAGAAAAACUAGCCGUGAAGACCCAGCACAGCCAAAACUAACUUUUUUUUUAAAGAGAAGAACAUCCCACUGUCCCAAAAAACUUGUCAACUGAAGUUAGGCUGGAGGGACACAAGAUUUCAAAUGUCUUUUAAUGUCAUUCUAAUGUUCUCUUUAAGGAAGCACCAUUAGGCUGGUGGCUUUGGGGUCAUUUGGACUGGUUUCAGAUUUUGCAUCUGUCAUUCCUGAGCCAUGUGAC
ensembl:lncRNA